rnacentral:rRNA from 1 species
UACAGAGGGUGCGAGCGUUGUCCGGAAUCACUGGGCGUAAAGGGCGCGUAGGUGGCGAGCCAAGUCCAUGGUGAAAGCUCGAUGCUCAACAUCGAGUCGGCCACGGAUACUGGUGCGCUUGAGCACUGUAGAGGCUAAUGGAAUUCCAGGUGUAGCGGUGAAAUGCGUAGAUAUCUGGAGGAAUACCGGUGGCGAAGGCGGCAUCCUGGACCAUUACUGACGCUGAGGCGCGAAAGCUAGGGGAGCAAACGGG